AAGGGGACAGAAAGAUAGACACCUACAGACCUGCUUCACUGCCUCUGAAGAGACCCCCCCUGCAGGUGGGAAGCCAGGGGCUUGAACCAAGAUCCUCAGGCCGGUCCUUAUGCUUCACACCAUGUGCACUUAACCCGCUGCGCUACCACCCAACCCCCCCUGCUCAUAUUUUUCUAGUACUUCCCUGUUGACUAUUUUAGACUUCAUCCCAAGUGACAGUAGCCACAGAAUCAUCAGAUUGCAGUGCUUGUUUUGUUGUCUAGGACUUACUAAAACACAUAUAACUAGAAGCUGUACCAUCUAAAAUAACUCUGCUUCUCCCAGGAAACAUGUCCUACCACUUGGAAACCCAAUGCAGAUCACAACUGCAUAUAGCUAGGAGAACCUUUCCCUAUCUCCAGAAGUUUAUGAAGUCCCAGGAGGCCUAUCUCCUCUAGUUGCCCUGUUUUCUUGAACGUCCUCGGUCAGGAGAAGACUUACUUGUGAGAAAUAUACCAAGAUUUCAAAAGUUGAUAUUUGGAUGAUUUCUCUACUCUUUGCUGGACUCAUCCAGGAAGGCUCUGAAGACUGGUGGCUGAUUUUGCUGAGUUUUUUUUUUUUAAUUUAUCAUUUUUAUUUAUAAAAUGGAAACUCCAACAAAACUAUAGGAUAAGAAGAUACAACUCCGCACAGUCCUCACCACCAGAACUCCGUAUCCCAUCCCCUCCCCUGAUAGCUUCCCUGUGGACCCAGGGUCAUUAUGGGGUGCAGAAGGUAGAAGGUCUGGCUUCUGUAAUUGCUUCCCCACUGAACAUGGGCAUUGACAGGUCGAUCCAUACUCCCUGGCUGAAUUUUUCUAGAAGAUAAUUAAAAAAAAAAAAAAAGUCCUGAUAUUCAGCAUUCUUUCCAGAGGACCAUUUUGGGUGGAACUAGUAGUCCAGGCAGAAUAUAUAAACAGAUCAAGGCAUUUUUCAUGAGUAAAAGUUGGGAAUCUUUAACAACCCUGGAAAGACAUAUGUGGUUUUGUGCCUUUGGAUUUUUUUUUUAAUUUAAGAAAUCUUUUAUAAUUGAACAUAUGUGCAUGUUAAAAUUUUUAAAUAUGCCAUGAAAAAUUGCUUUCCUCCUGCUCUUGACUCCCAGUUGAAUUUUCCUCCCUAGAGACAGCCACCACCACUACAUUUUCUUAAGUGUCUUCUGGAUCCAGACACUUAAUGUGCAUACGCAAAUGUAUUGCUUACAUCCCAUGUGAUCUCUAAAUGGUAGAUCUUUCUUAAAUGUUUGAAGAUAUAGCAGCUGCCUAGAGAAAUUUUGGGGGAGGGAAUAGAACAAUAUGAAAAAAUGUCAUUGGGGGGGGGGCUUCCUGACCCCCUAUGAAUUUGGAAGCUCACACAUCAAAAUCAUUGCUAAGGGCAUGGUAUAGUGGUGAGUAUAGCUGCCUUCCAUAUCAUUGCUAACAGAAGAAAUAAAUUAUAUGUACAGUUAAAUUGAGCUAAUCCUAUGUAUAGGGACAAUAUUUUGGAAAUAAAGUGAAACUUUGAAUAG